CAUGGAGUUUGGGCUGAGCUGGGUUUUCCUUGUUGCUAUUUUAAGAGGUGUCCAGUGUGAGGUGCAGCUGGUGGAGUCUGGGGGAGGCUUGGUGAAGCCUGGGGGGUCUCUGAGACUCUCCUGUGUAGCCUCUGGAUUCACCUUCAGUAACUACAAUAUGAGCUGGGUCUGCCAGGCUCCAGGGAAGGGUCUCAUACAUUAGAUAUAAUGGUGGUACAAUAAACUAUACAGACUCCGUGAAAGGGCAAUUCACCAUCUCCGGAGACAACUCCAAGAACACGCUGGAUCUGAAAAUGAACAGCCUGAGAACCGAGGCCACGGCCGUCUACUACUGUGGACACCUGCUGGGAUGA